GAAACAUCUAGAAGGUGUCCGUAAUCCAUUUCCUUCCUCAAUGCAUAACUUUUAUGUUCUUAUUGAGACAACUGGAAGCAGCGAAUCUUAUGAUAGAGAGAAACUAGAUGCCUUCUUGCUGCACUCAAUGGAAAAUGACUUGAUAAGUGAUGGAGUUGUUGCACAAGAUAUAACUCAGGCAUCUUCUUGCUGGCAUAUUCGUGAGGGUAUUCCUGAAGCUUUGAUGAAGGCAGGAGGUGUAUAUAAAUAUGAUUUGUCAAUACCAGUUGAAAAGAUGUAUGAUCUUGUUGAGGAAAUGGGAGUCCGACUUGGUGCUUCAGCAAAAGUAGUCGCUUAUGGUCACCUUGGGGAUGGAAACUUACAUCUUAAUAUCUCAACUCCUCAGUAUGAUGAUAAUAUUUUAUCACAGAUUGAACCCUUCGUUUAUGAAUGGACUUCUAAGCACAAAGGGAGUAUUAGUGCCGAACAUGGCCUUGGACUGAUGAAAGCCAAUAAAAUCCAUUAUACCAAGUCACCUGAAACUGUCCAACUAAUGGCCAACAUUAAGAAGCUACUGGACCCUAACGGAAUUCUAAACCCAUAUAAAGUCCUCCCGCCUUCUCUUUUUACAGAAAGCUGAGGUGACUUGAAGGAGUUCACAGCUAAAGGGAGAGUGGAACAG
rnacentral:misc_RNA from 1 species